CUCAACAGUAGCUAAUGUUACUGCAGAGGCGCUGGUAAAACAUGGAAUAUGAGGCAGGUGUAAAUACUUCACAUGGAAAAUCGAAAAGGAAUCUUUGUCUGAUAGCCGGUACAGUUACGAUUCUCGCGUUUGCGAUUAUUUUCGUGGUUGUCUUAAUUUGUACGAUUAAAACAGAACAUGGCCUGAAGGAAACUGUUAUGAGCAGAUGCCAGAGCUAUGUGGACACCGAAACAUCCGCCUCGAGAUUUAUAAGGGUCUAUAGAGCGACCGGUAUUUAUUGACCUGACACAUGACGAGGAGGCUGGCUCCAGCAGAGCGGUUCCGGACCCCUCAUUAUUAAUCGAAAGGAGUUGUGAUCUUACCACUGGUGGCGACGCAUGCUGCGUAGUGCCAGAGCCGUCAUUAUCCAUAGAAAGGAGUUGCGGAUCCGGUGACGAUGUGUCUAGCUGGACAGAUACACAGCUGAACGUUUGGGAGCGUUCGUCUUGGUCCAGCGAGCGAGAGGAGAGGUCUCUGAUAAGGCGUCAGCAGACACCGUUAGCAGAACGAGAAGAUAUCGCCGUCGACGAACGAUCAUCAUCGACGGGGGGUAGACAGACGCCGUUUGCUCUUCAAGCUCAAAAUACUGUCUCGCUAGAUCAACUCAACGCUAUCUUAAGAGAGUCUAAUAUUCCUUUACACGAGUCCAUUGACAGACUGUGGGGUUCUGUCGGUGAGAUACAUACGAUUCUUAUGAGAUUGAAUGACGUCACUUCCCAAUACAAACACGCCCCAUUGAAUAAGCCCACCCCCGCCAUUGAUUGACAGGUUUCUGUACAAGACAGAGGAAACGCAAAUGCAAAGGGAUUUGCGAUUUCAUUUGAGUUUUGGCAGGCUUAAUACGCGACACCAGAGGAAGUGAAAUGGCAUAUGGGGAAUUGCUAUUGCGAUUUAAAUUUGGCAGGGUCGUAACUCGUAAGCCACGGGUAAUUCAUUUGCAAAUAGACUUUGCUUUUCCUUUUGAAA